GGAGUUAGCCGGUGCUUCUUCUGUGAGUGAUGUCCUUCCUGCCGGCUAUUAACCCGCAGGCCUUCUUCCUCACUGAAAGUGCUUUACAACCCGAAGGCCUUCUUCACACACGCGGCAUGGCUGGAUCAGGGUUGCCCCCAUUGUCCAAUAUUCCCCACUGCUGCCUCCCGUAGGAGUCUGGGCCGUGUCUCAGUCCCAGUGUGGCUGAUCAUCCUCUCAGACCAGCUACGGAUCGUCGCCUUGGUGAGCCGUUACCUCACCAACCAGCUAAUCCGACAUAGGCUCAUCCGAUAGCGCGAGGCCCGAAGGUCCCCCGCUUUCCCCCGUAGGGCGUACUGCGGUAUUAGCCUGGGUUUCCCCAGGUUAUCCCCCACUACCGGGCAGAUUCCUAUGCAUUACUCACCCGUCCGCCGCUCGCCACCAGGGAGCAAGCUCCCCGUGCUGCCGCUCGACUUGCAUGUGUUAGGCCUGCCGCCAGCGUUCAAUCUGAGCCAGAAUCGAACCCUGA
rnacentral:rRNA from 1 species